rnacentral:snoRNA from 1 species
UAUGGAGCAAUAAUUAUAAAAUAAUUCUUUGUUUUGACUUGCUUAAUUUGGACAUGACAAACUUCUUAUUACACUUUUAAAAUUUGAGCUACU